CUGGCUCAGGACGAACGCUGGCGGCGUGCUUAACACAUGCAAGUCGAACGGGGAUAACGGAGAGGAGAGCUUCGGCAGGAAUCGCUGUUAUUCGAGUGGCGGACGGGUGAGUAACGCGUGAGCAACCUGUCCCAGACAGGGGGAUAACACUUGGAAACAGGUGCUAAUACCGCAUAAGACCACGGGAUCGCAUGGUUCUGGGGUAAAAGGAGAAAUCCGGUUUGGGGUGGGCUCGCGUCCGAUUAGCCAGUUGGCGGGGUAACGACCCACCAAAGCGACGAUCGGUAGCCGACCUGAGAGGGUGAUCGGCCACAUUGGAACUGAGAGACGGUCCAAACUCCUACGGGAGGCAGCAGUGGGGAAUAUUGGGCAAUGGGCGAAAGCCUGACCCAAGCAACGCCGCGUGAGUGAAGAAGGCCUUCGGGUUGUAAAGCUCUGUUAUAGUUGACGAAGUGCGUGACGGUAGGCUAUAAGGAAGCCCCGGCUAACUACGUGCCAGCAGCAGC
rnacentral:rRNA from 1 species